ensembl:snRNA U12 U12 minor spliceosomal RNA
AUGCCUUAAACUGAUGAGUAAGGAAAAUAACGACGCGGGGUGACGCCCGUGUCCUCGCUCAAACUCGCGAGAGGAAUUUUUGAGCGGGCACAGGUCCGUCCGCGAGGUGACUCACCUACUUUAGUGAGAUGCCGAGCGGAGCCAGGAUCUGCCCG